rnacentral:snRNA from 1 species
GGAUGUGAGGAUGAUCUAGGUAUCUGGUCAGCUACGUGGACAUCCUCUUCCUCUCUCACUGCUCCAUCUGUGCCCCUCCUGAAGCUGAGUGUCUGGACAAAGAGGAUGACCUUCCCAGAUAGAGGAAGGGUUUAUGAGUAGCUGUGUUCCCAGCUAGAACCUACAAAAGUUCUAUCAAGGAUAUUUGUCAUAUUGAAUUUGAUAAAUAGUCUAUCCACUUCUGACAGUAACAGAUACCUAAUUGGGAAUCUUUU